UCAAUACCCAGUUAGUAGUUCACUGCAUGGCAUUUAAAAUCAGUAUAAUGAUACCAAAAUUAGCAAUGGUUUAUAACAGCAACCUUUUCUUUGCUUCAGGAAGAUUUUAAAUACUCAUGGCCAGGAUCUUACCGAGAGGAAGCUCUUCAGAGGAUGAGGGUCUUCCUUUGUUGCUGUUGACUGGACAGUGAAUUUCCCCAAAGGAGAAGGAACAGAAUUUGGUGGCAUCCAGAGAAAGCCACACAACCUCAUUGCAAUGCUCACUUGUGAACAGACUCACCUAAGAGGAGAAUCAUGCAAUCUCUGACCAUCUGUCCAUUAUCUGCAGCUGGAACUAGAUAUUGUCCAGAGGAGAAAUGAUGGCUCCCAAAUGUAAAUAAUAGCACAGAGGUGCCCUGAGGAUUGGAAGAGGAGCUUGGCUUGGAUUCAAGGACAAUCAAAACAACAGAAGAGGCAGAACAUAAUCAGUGGCCUCUCUGAUAAAGGUCGAAAAGCAUCUAUGGCAAAGGUAAAAGGAAGGACCCUCAGAGCCCCUACAGUUGUGUUCUAUCUUUGGACUGAAGGGGAAAACUGCAAGCACUGAACAGCAUCCUUGUGGUACUGCACUCGAAUUUAAGGACUUUUCCUGGAAACAGCCUAAGUGCAACUCCAACCAGACCUACUGGAAAUAGUGGAAAACUGAGAAAAAGUUGUCAUGGAAACCACUAACACCGAGAUAUGGGUGAAAAAAGAAGCUUUCAUCCAGAGACCACAAUUAUUUGCAAAGAAUCUGUGAGCUUCUGAAACACUUUUUUCCUGCUCAGUUCUGCUGAGAUCUCAACUCAAAGACCAGCUGGAGGGUGGAAGUGCCAUUGGAACACUAAAUCUGGUAAUGCAGCAUUUGAAGGAAGGUUGUUUCUCCUUUUCCAUGUCCACGUUGAGCAAGGGAGUACAGCACAGAGACACUGAGUUACCAACAGCAGCUCAGUGUCCAUCCUGCAGCCACCCCCGAUCUUUGGGGAAAAAAAAGCGAAGGAGUAGCCAUGUGGAGAGGCUCCUGUCUGGAUGAUUCCCCAGCUCACAGCAAUCUGCCAAGAAGCUGGCAGGGCCUAGGCUCAUCCACAGUGAAGCUUGGGAUCCCAGAUCACUUUGAGAGGCAGCACCAGUGAAGCCAGCCUGUGAAAAAGCUGGAGAAGUUUUUGGACAAAACGUGAAUGAUUUUAAAGCUGUUGGAGACUUUGCAACUUCAGAAACAGGAAGCUAAACUUUGAGGCUACUCUAAGGCUGCCGGAACACUGAGCAGAAGUUGAGGAGAUACUGAAUGUAUCCCAUGGCCUGAAGGCAGGAUUGACACCAGACCUUCUACACUUUUCUUUGGCUGUACUUUGAUACUUAAAAUAUUGAUGAGUCUGGAGGCUGUUUCAAAACUUGAAAUGACAGAAGAGAAAAAAAUCCCCCAAUGGUAACAGAAAAAUCUGUGACCUGAACAGUCUUGAAACAAUUGGUGAGUAGUGAGCAGUAAUGGAAGCUUGAACAGGCUCUGAUUGGCAAAUGUGGAACUUGAGAUGUUUUACAAUGCACCAGUAAUGAAGAACUGGU